rnacentral:rRNA from 1 species
GACGAACCGUGCGAACGUUAUUCGGAAUCACUGGGCUUAAAGCGCGUGUAGGCGGAUGGGAACGUCGGUAGUUGAAAGCCCCCGGCUCAACCGGGGAAGUGGUGCCGAAACGACCCGUCUGGAGGGACGUAGGGGGACCUGGAACUUCCGGUGGAGCGGUGAAAUGCGUUGAGAUCGGAAGGAACGCCCGUGGCGAAAGCGAGGUCCUGGACGUCUACUGACGCUGAGA